ensembl:snRNA U2 U2 spliceosomal RNA
AUCGCUUCUCGGCCUUUUGGCUAAGAUCAAGUGUAGAAUAGUUUACCCAUGAUUAAUAUAUUAUCAAUCACAACUAAAAAUCCAGUGGCUAAAUGGAAGUUAAUAUUUUACAUAUUAGCAUUCUAUUUUUCGUUUCUUUUGGUCACAUCUGAAGCAUGCUGAAGGGCCCAGGCCAGGGACUGAACCUGU